rnacentral:rRNA from 1 species
GAUGAACGCUGGCGGCGUGCUUAACACAUGCAAGUCGAACGAAACACCUUAUUUGAUUUUCUUCGGAACUGAAGAUUUGGUGAUUGAGUGGCGGACGGGUGAGUAACGCGUGGGUAACCUGCCCUGUACAGGGGGAUAACAGUCAGAAAUGACUGCUAAUACCGCAUAAGACCACAGCACCGCAUGGUGCAGGGGUAAAAACUCCGGUGGUACAGGAUGGACCCGCGUCUGAUUAGCUGGUUGGUGAGGUAACGGCUCACCAAGGCGACGAUCAGUAGCCGGCUUGAGAGAGUGAACGGCCACAUUGGGACUGAGACACGGCCCAAACUCCUACGGGAGGCAGCAGUGGGGAAUAUUGCACAAUGGGGGAAACCCUGAUGCAGCGACGCCGCGUGAGUGAAGAAGUAUUUCGGUAUGUAAAGCUCUAUCAGCAGGGAAGAAAAUGACGGUACCUGACUGAGAAGCCCCGGCUAACUACGUG